rnacentral:misc_RNA from 1 species
GUGAAUCAUCGAAUUUUUGAACGCAAAUUGCACUUUCUGGUAUUCCGGAAAGCAUGCCUGUUUGAGGGUCAGUAAAAUCAAAAUCGGCGUUGUUGCAGCCUUUCGUGGUGACGCGUCGGAGUUGGGUCGUCUUACGUUUGGUUAAGUUACUUAAAAUUUUUGCAUGUUUUUUGAACGUCUUUAAUU